ACCUGAGUUCCCAAAAAUAAUUAUGAUAGCAGUAUAGAUCUAUCCAAACUCAUGAAAAUUCAGCUAUAGGCUGCCCUUAUUCCAUCGAAAAUUUGCCUUGAACCUAGGUGGUUCUGCAACAUUUUACUAGACUUCUACAAGUACAAGAGGGAUAAGUUUCUCAAAGGCUCAAUCCUUCUUUUGGGUUCACAUUUAGCCAGUGUGUGGAAUGCCCUGUCUCUAUGCUCAGCAGACCCAUGUGUCUUUGCUCCAAAGUACUGUUUCUGCCAUCAAUGCUAGUUUAAAGUUGUGUGGGUAACCCCUUUGUGUUAUUCAAACAACUCUAGGUAAAACAUCAUCUCUUCAAUUGAGCUAAUGAAUUUCACGCUACCUUUUCUCAUUUUCUUACAAUAUCUUGCACUUUUAAUUUUUCAUUAUUAUCACCACUGUGAGUUUCAUACUCUUUUGGUAUGAAAAUAUUGUACAUGAUGAGAAACAGUACUGAUCAAAAACAAAGUUUUACUCUGGCCUCAGCAUCUCAUGGCACAGACUGACAUAUUCUCUUCUGUUGAGCAUGGUGACUAAGCAUGAAUGUGAUGAGAUAGGGCAAAUGUCUAUCAGUAUUCAGUAAAAUACAAAGGCUAUAUCUAGGAAUCAGAGAAAGUGGCAGUGUUUGAAUGAGACCUGAGUGAUGUGCACUUGUGAUUCAUGCAGUUAUUUGGAAACUUGUUGGAGCCACUGAAGCUGAGUACAUGUAGAGGGCUCUGGCAUAGCCUGAGCACAUUUAAUCUGAGAAUAAAGGCACACUCAGUGGGCAUGAUAGGUCAUAGCUGAGGCCACCUGGAGACUUUCUGGAUAGUUUUCCUUAAUUAGCAUCAUCUGUUGCUCUGAGGGGUCCUUGAAACCCUCUCAAGAUCCUGCUCAGAUUUCCUCCAUUGUCCCCUAAGCUCUUUGCUUGUUGUGAUUAAAUAUGGGCUGCCCAGCAUCAGUCAGCCAGCUGGCUAGCAGAGUUAUGAGCUCUGCCAAGGAUUUAAUCCUCCUGCAGCCCCAAAGAUUGUGUCACUUGUUUCAUUCUUUUGGGCCUUCACUAUGCACCUGUUUGAGGGGUUGGGGAUCUAGGCAUGGACCUGAACAGCUGAUGCCUGAACAGGGACUCUACAGUGGAGAUUGCUGCUGUGGAUGGGGACGUACUUUGGUGUGUUCCUAGGCUGGAAAAUGGCCCCGAAAGCAUGUCUAUUUUAUUUUGGUAGGAAAAUCCCUUCAUUUCCUUAAAAAAAAUCCCUUCACCUGUGAAGUCAUGGUGAAUGCUAUAUCUGAAAUGCAACAGAAACAUAACACAGAACUGCUUUUCUUUAGUAAGGUGAGUCCUGUUACUUCCAAAGUUAUUUUGGUGCAGCUCUUGUGGCAAAUUCAUGAUCAUUGUCCUUGAGGUAGGUGUGGCCACUGUGAGAUAUUGGGGAAAAAUAGGUAAACUGCAUUGAGGAGCCUCAAGCUCUGAUCUCUGUCUUGCACACCUGGUAUCUUUGCUGAGAUGUGACAUUUGGCUGGCAGGCACAUGGAACAUACCAUGGUUGAAUUCCCAGUUUUCAUGGGUGCACCCAGGUGCUUCUCCACCUCCUUUUGCCACUGCCUCCACAAGAUGCAAACCCUGAAAAACCUCUGGGCAACUCCUUACCUGUUCUAACUCCCAUGCAAAAGGUGGCUCAAGAAGUUAAACAACAUGGGGAAUUAACUGCUUGUCCUGUUUUGCAUCAGUGACAAGAGCCACACUUUGAAAGUUUUCAGUAACUGUUUAAAGAGUUAAAAGGGGCUGGGGAUUAAGCUUAGUGGCAUAAGCACCUGCUUGGCAACUGCAAGAUUAUAAAUUAAGUCCCCUUUACCAAAAGAGAAAAACAAAAAAGAUAAAGAGUAUUAAAAAGGCAGUCAGGGAAUAUGGAAUUAAAAGUACUUUUGUAAUUGGCAUUAUUGAGGGUUAUUAGUCAUGAUUAUGAAGUGAUCCCUUUGGACUGGAAAACCUUAGUGCAUACUAUUGUCACUCAAACCCAACAUCAAGUGUGGUUGUAAGAAUAUACUGAUGCUGUGGACAAGCAAGCCAUAAAUAAGUUAGAUUGCAAUAUUGCUAUAGGAGCUACUGAAUUAUGGGGAGAGAGCUUUUUCAGAAAUUUGCCAACAAAUUCAUUGCCACCCUCAGGCUAUUACCCUCAAAUGGCUUAAAUUGCUUUAAAAGCUUAAAAAAGAAUCCCUGUAGCAGUGGGCUCACACGUUUCCUUUGGUACUAUUAAACAGGAGGCCACUGAACCUUGUCAUACCUUUAUAGAAAGAUGAAUUCAGCUAGCAAAUGCCAGGUGGACAACACAGCAGCAGCCUCUAUUUGUUAAAGCAAUUAACAUACAAAAAUGCAAACCAAGACUACAAAAAUGCUUUAAAAGAUGUCUCUAUGAAACCUGACACUACCUUGGAAAUCCCUGGUUUGCUACACACUGGAGCUGAUGUUUCUGUUUUAUUCCACUCACCUGGUGAUAGUUUAUCUGCCAUUGUCAAUGCUAAUCCCUCUCAUCACUUGAGAUGUACUGGAACAUCUAUAUUCCUUGGAAUUGAUUUAAUCAAUACUGUCUUACCACUCACCAAGGCUGACUUUUCCUUUUUGCUGCCCUCUGCUGUUCCCUCUGCAAGACCCAGUGCUGGGGAUUUAGCUCAGUGGCAUAAGUGCCUGCCUUGCAAGUGUGCAGUUGUGAGUUCAAUACCUGUUACCAAAAAAUAAAAAAUAGAAAAGCAAAGCCUCUGCAAUUCA